ACAUCCAGAGAAUUUAGCAGAGAUGCUUUAGUGCCUUCGGGAACUCUGAGACAGGUGCUGCAUGGCUGUCGUCAGCUCGUGUUGUGAAAUGUUGGGUUAAGUCCCGNAACGAGCGCAACCCCUAUCCUUUGUUGCCAGCGAUUCGGUCGGGAACUCAAAGGAGACUGCCGGUGAUAAACCGGAGGAAGGUGGGGAUGACGUCAAGUCAUCAUGGCCCUUACGAGUAGGGCUACACACGUGCUACAAUGGCGCAUACAAAGAGAAGCGACCUCGCGAGAGCAAGCGGACCUCAUAAAGUGCGUCGUAGUCCGGAUUGGAGUCUGCAACUCGACUCCAUGAAGUCGGAAUCGCUAGUAAUCGUAGAUCAGAAUGCUACGGUGAAUACGUUCCCGGGCCUUGUACACACCGCCCGUCACACCAUGGGAGUGGGUUGCAAAAGAAGUAGAUAGCUUAACCUUCGGGAGGGCGUUUACCACUUUGUGAUUCACGACUGGGGUGAAGUCGUAACAAGGUAAGCGUAGCGAG
rnacentral:rRNA from 1 species